GGCACAAACCUGUAGCAGAAUAGUUGGCUAGGGUCAGCUGACCGUACUAAUCUUCUCUACUUCAAGUUUGUGCUC
rnacentral:pre_miRNA from 1 species